UCCUAUAAUCCAUUGACUAAUCACUCACUUAUCUUUCCGCCAUUCAUUUGCAACUUGGUUCAUGAUUUUGAAUCUCGUUAGGUUUCUUACUAAACUUUUGGCAACAGGUAUAACAAUAAACAUGGGUUACAUUUUUAUCCAUUAUUUUUCUUUUCUCUUAUAUGAGAUUUAUGUAACAUCCGUAAAAAAUGGGUACAAAAAAAAUCCAAUCCGUUUUUCAAAACCGGAUCCGAACCAUUUGUAGACCGGUUCGAAUCGUUAUAAAUAAAAUAUAUUAUAUUAGACUCUGCUCCAGUUUAUUUAUGAAACUUAAGAUAAUUAUAAAAAUGGUUUUACUGGAUUUAAUGUUAACAAGUUAUUUAAAUAAAUCAAAAUGCUUUAGUUCUAAAUUGACUUUAUCAAAUUAUAAACUUUGGCGGCCAUUUUUAGCCAUAUAGAAAAAUAGUUUAAGUUAAUAAAAUAAUAAAUAAAAAACAUUGGUUCAACUUUUAUACAGAUAAACUUGGAGGGUCACCCAAAUUAUCCUCUCCAAACUCGUUAUUUAAUUUCCAAAAUCAACGAUAUUGGCACCUUUUUAACUUUGUAUAGCUCAAAUCAAGCAGUAAAGCGUUUCCUAAUAUACUACACCAAUUUCGCCUUUUAUGAUCAAAAACCAUAUCAACAAAAAAACCAAAUCGUAUCUUCACUCAAAUUACAAUUCUUUCCUUAUAAUGUGUGCUAGUGUAAUCUAGUUUAUAUUCAAGCCUUCAAACAGUAACUCGAACCCAAAAACCACCACCUAUCUGGCUGGUGUGUUUUCCUUUUUACCGGGUCUCGGUAACACGGUUUGCAACGCCGCUCCUAGGCCUUGUUUCAAUGACCUCCUGCCGCCACCGCGUACCCAUCGACUUGUUGUUGGAAGACCUUCGUUGAUUCUACACUUAUACGUACAUCGACUACCGUUCCUCAUAUAAGGGUAUAUUGUUGGGAAAGCUCCUAACCUUUAUCUCACCCGGAUGUUCUGGAUCUAGGAUACCAUGGUGACUUAAAAAAGUAAUUGAAGAAAGAGGGUCCCACCUAACUUAAAAAACUAUAUAAUAUACACAGCGGGUGUCAUUCGUUCACAAUUAUCUCUCUUCUUCUUGUACUGUUGUCCGUACUGAAAACCCUGAAACCCUGUCCGUACUGAAAACCCUGAAACCCUUUCAAAUAUACUCUGUACCGAAAACCCUGAAACCCUAAUUUCGAAAAGAUACAAGGGGAGAAAGAUAAAUUGUUCAAAGGUUUGAAAACCGCUAAUGAUGAUCAUGUUCAAAAACAAGGUGAUCAGGAAGGUUAAAAGUCUCCUACAAAACCUGAAGAUCGGAAGUUCGUGUUCGAAUUUAAAAGUUUUAAGAGUGCUGAAGAGGAAGGUUCAUCAAGAUCUACUGGAAAAACAAAAGGAGAACUUACUGAUGGUGAUGGUGAUAUUCAAGAGUCUCCUGUUUCGCCUUUCAAACGAAGAAUCCCAGGGUCGGCUUAGAUUUGUUAUAUAGGGAAUUCUGCAUCUCCUAGCGGUUACUGUUUUGAUGAAAAAUUGAGGUUUCAUGUUGUUGAUAAAAUUGUGAAGGAUCAUCUUGCUGAACUUAAGAAGGAGAGGAAGGAUUGAGGAAGA